rnacentral:rRNA from 1 species
AUCUUAUGUUGCCAGCACUUCGGGUGGGAACUCAUGAGAGACUGCCGCAGACAAUGCGGAGGAAGGCGGGGAUGACGUCAAAUCAUCAUGCCCCUUAUGACCUGGGCUACACACGUACUACAAUGGGAGUUAAUAGACGGAAGCGAAACCGCGAGGUGGAGCAAACCCGAGAAACACUCUCACAGUUCGGAUCGUAGGCUGCAACUCGCCUACGUGAAGUCGGAAUCGCUAGUAAUCGCAGGUCAGCAUACUGCGGUGAAUACGUUCCCGGGCCUUGUACACACCGCCCGUCACACCACGAAAGUCGGAAGUGCCCAAAGCCGGUGGGGUAACCUUCGGGAGCCAGCCGUCUAAGGUAAAGUCGAUGAUUGGGGUGAAGUCGUAACAAGGUAGCCGUAUCGGAAGGUGCGGCUGGAUCACCUCCUUUCUAGGGAGA